AACGUAGGGGACAAGCGUUAUCCGGAUUUACUGGGCGUAAAGCGCCCGUAGGCGGCCUGACAAGUUGGACGUGAAAGCCCAGGGCUCAGCCCUGGAAGGGCGCUAGAAACUGCGAGGCUCGAGUGCCGGAGGGGAGAGUGGAAUUCCUGGUGUAGCGGUGAAAUGCGUAGAUAUCGGAAGGAACAUCAGUGGCGAAAAGCGACUUCCUGGACCAGUACCGACGUUCAGGCACG
rnacentral:rRNA from 1 species